GUUUUCUAUGUUACAUGUAUUUAUUUUGCUUCAGUUCAGCAUUGUUUUCAAAUAGUUCCACUUUGUAAUGGUGUGUUAUAAUAGUCAAUAAUAAUAUAAGCAAACAGGUUUACAUGGCACUCAAAUGUGUAGCCGGUCUUUUCAACGAGUAUGUAAAGGUAAGUUUAUACUUCAAAAAGGUCUGUUUUUAACCUGACAAGCAUGCUGUCCAAAGUGAACUAAAACUCAAUCUUUGUGACCUUUCAAUGAAAUUUCAUAUGUUCAAAUGACAACUGCUACUACUGUAUAUAUCUUUUGAUGUUUGGUUUGCUGUUGAUACUAUAGAAUUGAUGAAAAUGCAAUUAUAUAAUAUUUUAUUUGUUGAAAGAGAUUCUAAGAUCAAGGAUUGUGUGGAAACUGUUUGUUCCUUGUGAGGACUUUGAGCAAAACUGUUUGUUUACUCUUGAGUUAGCAAAAUAUACCCAAAACUUAUUUCCUGUUUUUUAUU